rnacentral:RNase_P_RNA from 1 species
AUGGGUCGGUGAGACGGUCGCGUCAGUCAUGCAUCUUCGGAUGCUCGGCUGCCGAGGAACGUCCGGGCUCCACAGAGCAGGGCGGUGGGUAACACCCACCCGGGGCAACCCGCGAGACAGUGCCACAGAAAACAGACCGCCGCAGGCGUAAGCCUUGCGGUAAGGGUGAAACGGUGGUGUAAGAGACCACCAGAGGCCAGGGUGACCUGGUUUGCUUGGUAAACCUCGCCCGGAGCAAGGUCAGACAGGGAACGAUCGAGACGGCUCGUCGAGUUCCCGGGUAGACCGCUAGAGGGCUGCGGCAACGUAGUCCCGAGAUAGAUGGCCGUCACGGGUCCGCGGCAACGCGGAUCCGGACAGAACCCGGCGUACGGCCGGCCCAUUCAC